rnacentral:tRNA from 2 species
AGGUAAUUAGUUUAAUUAAAACAUUUGAUUUCGGCUCAAAAGCUUGUGGUUAAAGUCCGCAAUCGCCUA